rnacentral:rRNA from 1 species
AGUGAACGCUGGCGGUAGGCCUAACACAUGCAAGUCGAACGGCAGCACAGUAAGAGCUUGCUCUUACGGGCGGCGAGUGGCGGAAGGGUGCGGAAUACACCGGAAUCUACUUUUUCGCGGGGGAUAACGUAGGGUAAUACCCGCUACUACCGCAUACGACCUACGGGUGAACGCAGGGGAUCUUCGGACCUUGCGCGCUUGUAUGAGCCGAUGUCGGAUUAGCUAGUUGGCGGGGUAAAGGCCCACCAAGGCGACGAUCCGUAGCUGGUCUGAGAGGAUGAUCAGCCACACUGGAACUGAGACACGGUCCAGACUCCUACGGGAGGCAGCAGUGGGGAAUAUUGGACAAUGGGCGCAAGCCUGAUCCAGCCAUGCCGCGUGGGGGAAGAAGGCCUUCGGGUUGUAAAGCGCUUUUGUUGGGAAAGAAAAGCAGCUGGUUAAUACCCCGCGGUACUGACGGUACCCAAAGAAUAAGCACCGGCUAACUUCGUG